CAGCAAUCCCAGUUUGGAGAAGAAGUCUGUUCUGUAACAUUCUCUGCAUUGGAUAUCCCUCCUCCUACAGGGCCUCUGUGGAUUCUUGGGGCCACCUUCAUAGGUCAAUAUUACACUGAAUUUGACAGACGUAAUAAUCGUAUUGGAUUUGCUACAUCCCGGAGUGUAGAAGGAAAAUGAGUUAUUCCCAUUGCCGUCAGAAAAGGCACAGAUUUACCCUGCUGUUCCCAUA